UGGGGAAUAUUGGACAAUGGGCGAAAGCCUGAUCCAGCAAUGCCGCGUGAGUGAUGAAGGCCUUAGGGUUGUAAAGCUCUUUUACCCGGGAUGAUAAUGACAGUACCGGGAGAAUAAGCUCCGGCUAACUCCGUGCCAGCAGCCGCGGUAAUACGGAGGGAGCUAGCGUUAUUCGGAAUUACUGGGCGUAAAGCGCACGUAGGCGGCUUUGUAAGUAAGAGGUGAAAGCCCAGAGCUCAACUCUGGAAUUGCCUUUUAGACUGCAUCGCUUGAAUCAUGGAGAGGUCAGUGGAAUUCCGAGUGUAGAGGUGAAAUUCGUAGAUAUUCGGAAGAACACCAGUGGCGAAGGCGGCUGACUGGACAUGUAUUGACGCUGAGGUGCGAAAGCGUGGGGAGCAAACAGG
rnacentral:rRNA from 1 species